rnacentral:rRNA from 1 species
GACGAACGCUGGCGGCGUGCUUAACACAUGCAAGUCGAGCGGUAAGGCUCCUUCGGGAGUACACGAGCGGCGAACGGGUGAGUAACACGUGAGCAAUCUGCCCUUCACUUCGGGAUAACUCCGGGAAACCGGUGCUAAUACCGAAUACGACCACCUCAGGCAUCUGAUGGUGGUGGAAAGUUCCGGCGGUGAAGGAUGAGCUCGCGGCCUAUCAGCUUGUUGGUGAGGUAANGGCCCACCAAGGCAACGACGGGUAGCCGGCCUGAGAGGGUGACCGGCCACACUGGGACUGAGACACGGCCCAGACUCCUACGGGAGGCAGCAGUGGGGAAUAUUGGACAAUGGGCGAAAGCCUGAUCCAGCAACGCCGCGUGAGGGAUGACGGCC